rnacentral:rRNA from 1 species
GCUUAACACAUGCAAGUCGAGGGGCAGCAUGGUCUUAUCUUGCUAAGACUGAUGGCGACCGGCGCACGGGUGAGUAACACGUAUCCAACCUGCCGUCUACUCUUGGACAGCCUUCUGAAAGGAAGAUUAAUACAAGAUGGCAUCAUGAGUCCGCAUGUUCACAUGAUUAAAGGUAUUCCGGUAGACGAUGGGGAUGCGUUCCAUUAGAUAGUAGGCGGGGUAACGGCCCACCUAGUCUUCGAUGGAUAGGGGUUCUGAGAGGAAGGUCCCCCACAUUGGAACUGAGACACGGUCCAAACUCCUACGGGAGGCAGCAGUGAGGAAUAUUGGUCAAUGGGCGAGAGCCUGAACCAGCCAAGUAGCGUGAAGGAUGACUGCCCUAUGGGUUGUAAACUUCUUUUAUAAAGGAAUAAAGUCGGGUAUGGAUACCCGUUUGCAUGUACUUUAUGAAUAAGGAUCGGCUAACUCCGUGCCAGCAGCCGCGGUAAUACGGAGGAUCCGAGCGUUAUCCGGAUUUAUUGGGUUUAAAGGGAGCGUAGAUGGAUGUCUAAGUCAGUUGUGAAAGUUUGCGGCUCAACCGUAAAAUUGCAGUUGAUACUGGAUAUCUUGAGUGCAGUUGAGGCAGGCGGAAUUCGUGGUGUAGCGGUGAAAUGCUUAGAUAUCACGAAGAACUCCGAUUGCGAAGGCAGCCUGCUAAGCUGCAACUGACAUUGAGGCUCGAAAGUGUGGGUAUCAAACAGGAUUAGAUACCCUGGUAGUCCACACGGUAAACGAUGAAUACUCGCUGUUUGCGAUAUACUGCAAGCGGCCAAGCGAAAGCGUUAAGUAUUCCACCUGGGGAGUACGCCGGCAACGGUGAAACUCAAAGGAAUUGACGGGGGCCCGCACAAGCGGAGGAACAUGUGGUUUAAUUCGAUGAUACGCGAGGAACCUUACCCGGGCUUAAAUUGCAGAUGAAUUACGGUGAAAGCCGUAAGCCGCAAGGCAUCUGUGAAGGUGCUGCAUGGUUGUCGUCAGCUCGUGCCGUGAGGUGUCGGCUUAAGUGCCAUAACGAGCGCAACCCUUGUUGUCAGUUACUAACAGGUUCCGCUGAGGACUCUGACAAGACUGCCAUCGUAAGAUGUGAGGAAGGUGGGGAUGACGUCAAAUCAGCACGGCCCUUACGUCCGGGGCUACACACGUGUUACAAUGGGGGGUACAGAGGGCCGCUACCACGCGAGUGGAUGCCAAUCCCCAAAACCUCUCUCAGUUCGGACUGGAGUCUGCAACCCGACUCCACGAAGCUGGAUUCGCUAGUAAUCGCGCAUCAGCCACGGCGCGGUGAAUACGUUCCCGGGCCUUGUACACACCGCCCGUCAAGCCAUGGGAGCCGGGGGUACCUGAAGUGCGUAACCGCGAGGAGCGCCCUAGGGUAAAACUGGUGACUGGGG